rnacentral:rRNA from 1 species
UACAGAGGUGGCAAGCGUUGUUCGGAAUUACUGGGCGUAAAGGGCGCGUAGGUGGCCUUUUGAGUCAGACGUGAAAUCCCCCGGCUUAACCUGGGAACUGCGUCUGAUACUGGAAGGCUUGAGUUCGGGAGAGGGAUGUGGAAUUCCAGGUGUAGCGGUGAAAUGCGCAGAUAUCAGGAAGAACACCAAUGGCGAAAGCAGCUCUCUGGGACGGUACUGACGCUGAGACGCGAAAGCGUGGGGAGCGAACAGG